rnacentral:rRNA from 1 species
CAGUCGACGGUAGCACAGAGAGCUUGCUCUCGGGUGACGAGUGGCGGACGGGUGAGUAAUGUCUGGGAAACUGCCCGAUGGAGGGGGAUAACUACUGGAAACGGUAGCUAAUACCGCAUAACGUCGCAAGACCAAAGUGGGGGACCUUCGGGCCUCACACCAUCGGAUGUGCCCAGAUGGGAUUAGCUAGUAGGUGGGGUAAUGGCUCACCUAGGCGACGAUCCCUAGCUGGUCUGAGAGGAUGACCAGCCACACUGGAACUGAGACACGGUCCAGACUCCUACGGGAGGCAGCAGUGGGGAAUAUUGCACAAUGGGCGCAAGCCUGAUGCAGCCAUGCCGCGUGUAUGAAGAAGGCCUUCGGGUUGUAAAGUACUUUCAGCGGGGAGGAAGGCGGUGAAGUUAAUAACUUCACCGAUUGACGUUACCCGCAGAAGAAGCACCGGCUAACUCCGUGCCAGCAGCCGCGGUAAUACGGAGGGUGCAAGCGUUAAUCGGAAUUACUGGGCGUAAAGCGCACGCAGGCGGUCUGUCAAGUCGGAUGUGAAAUCCCCGGGCUUAACCUGGGAACUGCAUUCGAAACUGGCAGGCUGGAGUCUUGUAGAGGGGGGUAGAAUUCCAGGUGUAGCGGUGAAAUGCGUAGAGAUCUGGAGGAAUACCGGUGGCGAAGGCGGCCCCCUGGACAAAGACUGACGCUCAGGUGCGAAAGC